UAAUUGAAGAGUUUGAUCAUGGCUCAGAUUGAACGCUGGCGGCAGGCCUAACACAUGCAAGUCGGGCGGUAACAGAGAGAAGCUUGCUUCUCUGCUGACGAGCGGCGGACGGGUGAGUAAUGUAUGGGGAUCUGCCUGAUGGCGGGGGAUAACUACUGGAAACGGUAGCUAAUACCGCAUAAUGUCUUCGGACCAAAGCGGGGGACCUCCGGGCCUCGCGCCAUCAGAUGAACCCAU
rnacentral:rRNA from 1 species